ensembl:snRNA U6 U6 spliceosomal RNA
GUGCUCGCUUUGGCAGCCCAUAGACUGAUACUGAAAUGAUACAGAAGAUUAUCAUGGCCCCUGUGCAAGAUGACACGCAAAUUUGUGAAGUGUUCUGUAUUUUU